CUCUCGGGUCCCACUGCAAUGACUCACUGCUCUUAGGGUGUACCCUUUCCUUUUCACUGUCUUGACUAUUACUUUCCUCAUUUUAUGAUCUAUUGCAAAAUCUUAACAGCUGGUGGCAACAGAGCAAGCCCAAGAUAGCCAACUAACCAUGAGAAGGAGUCUACCUAGAACUUUAAGUGUUAGUCAUGCAAGAGAUAUGUUUAAAGACAUGAGUAAGCCUCUAUGAGCUCGGAGAAACCGUUUCCUAAGAAUAAAGAAAAAGAGACCACAUUCUGACAGCCAGAAAGGAUUCCAUUCUUCAAGGAAUGAUCUUUGAGGGGGAUCCCAUAGUCCAAGAGACUUGCAGAGUUGAAGGAGAGGUCUUUGAAGAAAAUACUGCAGUCAUCCAGGCAUCAUUCAAUCCUGGCCUCACAUUAGCUGUGCAGUCUCCACCAUUCAACCUCUAGAACGGACACAGCUGAAGCAUCUGCCAGUUCAGAGCAAAAGAUUUAAGUGUUUGGUAUUAAAGAAACAGAGGUUUCCGGUUUUAACUUUCAAGUAUUGGUUCUGCCAAUCACUUGUUGGAUAGCUUUGUGCAGACCACACAGCCUCCUGGACUUAUGUCUCAUGCACCAAAUAGAAAUGUAAAUGAUAACUCCUCAGAGAGGUGGUGUGUCCAGUGCAGGCUGAAGGUGCUCUCUAAAUGGUAGUCAUAGUUUUCUUUCUCUUCUUCAUAUUCCUCUGCUUAUUAAUAUUCCCCUGGUUUUCAUUAUAACUGCUUUUCUAUAUUUUGUUUUCCUAUUACUACAAUCACUGUACCAUAGUACUGUCAUAGAAUAUGUACAGGGCUUGGAAUACCAGUUUCUUGCUGCCUUGAUUUGCUGAACUCAAGAGUUAGAAAAUACAGACUUCUAGAUUAUUUCCAAUCACUUUCCCAUCUCAGAUAUGGCAAAAUUUAAAAAAAAAAAAUGGUUUUCUAGACUGAGACAAAUAGCUCAUUUUCUGAUUUAUUAAUUAGCUCUUAAAUGCAACCAGCCUGAGUCCCACGCAUGUAUCUCUAAAUCCACAUUCAAUGAAGAGGGCUUCCUUUUAGUCAUGAUUAACGUCAAAGACUUGCCGUCCGGUUGGGUGAUUUAGUGUGAAAGCUUGCCUAUAAGUCACAUCUUGUUCAAACAAGCCAUGUCAGCCCUUGGUUUAUCUGGCUACUCUUUUCAUUUGCACCGUUGGAGGCCAAAACAAAUGACUUCCUGAAAUUAAUCUCACGAGCUCCAGAGGUAUUCCUGGCUUACACAUUUGUUGCUGUUAUAUACCCUUUGUUGAGGGUAACUAA
rnacentral:lncRNA from 1 species